CACGUAGGGGGCAAGCGUUGUCCGGAAUUAUUGGGCGUAAAGGGCUCGUAGGCGGUCUGUUGCGUCAGGAGUGAAAACUCGGGGCUUAACCCCGAGCCUGCUUCUGAUACGGGCAGACUAGAGGUAUGCAGGGGAGAACGGAAUUCCUGGUGUAGCGGUGAAAUGCGCAGAUAUCAGGAGGAACACCGGUGGCGAAGGCGGUUCUCUGGGCAUUACCUGACGCUGAGGAGCGAAAGUGUGGGGAGCGAACAGG
rnacentral:rRNA from 1 species